UUAAUAAUUAGUUACAGUUACUAGUUACUUCUUUUAAAAGUAACUGAAUUACUUUACGAAUUACUGUAUUUCAAAAGUAAUUAGUUACUAGGGAAAGUAACUUUUAGGUUAUACUUCCAUGUCUGCUUUUUAAAAAUAAAUAUGAACAGUACUGAACAGUCAAACACAAUAAACACCAUUUUUAGACCUAGACCUAUUUAUUGUAAUCAACAGGGCAACAGGCCUUAAAAUCAAGCAGUACAACACUUAACUGUCUCAGUUAUUUAACAUUGCUACUCUUUGCUGUGGAUAGGUUCUUUACACUUUCACAGAAAUGACAACUCAACACAACAUUUUUGUCUUCUUUUGACAAGCGAAAAGUAAUGUCCAUGCCUCCAGGAGAGAAAGCUCAUUCUAACCGCAACGUCGGCCAUGCUGUGGUUUAAUGCUGAUUGACUGAUUCAACUGGUGUAUCAUCGCGUCACCAUAAGGUCCUGCAACAUUAGAUCAGAAGCAGGACUGGACGGGAGCCAUGCAAUUUGCAAGGGGUCAUGACCCAUGACGCGGGCAGUCCCACUCACAGCGCAAGAGGAUCUUCACAUGACAUUAAGAUCCACUGUUUGAGGACAACACAAAGAAAACAAGGCCUCACCUGGGUUACUCCUCUAUCCAACGAAGGCAAGAAGAGAAAAUGUGAAAGAAUUAUGGGAGAUUUAAAAAGGCUGCGUGUGAAAAUUAAACAGAACCUUCAACUCUGGUCGUUAAUCAGCUCCAUCAGAAAAACUGAACUAAAAAGAGUGACUAUUUUUCUUUUUUCCAUAAGUAAUAAGAUGGUUAUAUUUCUACAUACAUUUGCAAUAUCAUGAUUUAUAUUGAUGUGAUUGAUUUUUAACCACAUCCCUCAGUCCUUUUAUCCAAGCUACGUCUCGUUUUGUUUUGUUCAUGCUGGCCAUGUCCUUGCCAUGAUUUGCUGUUUUAAUUAAUGUGACUAUGUUCUCCUGCAUUGUAAGGUGUCCUUGAGUAUCUUGAAAGGCACCUCCAAAUAAAAAUUAUUAUCAAGCUGAGUAAUAGUGCUUUUUACCAGAUGGUGGCACUAAUGCGUAACUGUGAUAUUCACUGAAGGAGGAGAAAAAUCUAGCAAGUGUUUGUUCUGGUGUUCUAGUGUGGGUUGCACACUUUAAGUAAGUUGCAGAUAUACAACAAAGGCUAUUAUGACUGGAAGU